AGGGGGGGCAGAGACUUUUCUUUUUGUUUCUCUUAUCUUGAACCAUAGUAUGCUUUGAUUUUUAAAUGACAUUGUGACAGAGUUGCUUGCAGGUGUAUUUCCCACACCCACUCCCACCCCUGGAAUGCACAGACCCUGUCAUCCCCUCCUCCUUCCAUCCACUCACUUUAAGAUUGAGAAUGAGCUGCAAAUGCAUUUCCCAGGCUUAGACAACUAGAUAGGAAGCUAUUGAUUUUAAUUGGCAGGUUUUGCUUGAAUUGUUGCAGGUAGAAACCUAAAAGUACUUCUUUUUGAAGGGUUUACGAAAAAAACCCAAUUGCCCUGCCUGCAAAGUACCACUUUUUUGUGCGGUAAGGUAAAGUAAGGUUUUCUUACUUUAUGCAGCCCUCAAAGGCAGUGUAGUGUCCUGAUGGCUCUAGGACUCUUUAUCUCCCAGUAGCUUGCUCUGAGAAUUCCAGAGCAGUCUGCUGCUUGUGGAGAAAUGGGCUGAGAACAGUUUUUUAGGCACAAACAUGGCAAGAAUCAGGUGUGGUUGUGGAAGUGAAAUCAAAUGAAUGAUUUUAAUUUCAGUAUACUGUAUAUACUAUAUAUAGUACUUUUUUUUUUUCUAGAGUUCAUUUGAGUUAAACCUGUGGAGAAUUAUUAUGUCAGACCAAAAGAAAAGCAAACUAAUAAUCGUCCGUUGCAGACUUUUCUGAAAGAUUUAGAACAAGCUACAGCAUCACUACACUGUAUAUAGUAUAUACAAUAGUUGGCCCCACUGGGACACAGUUCAAGUUCAGAUAGAGUCACAGCAAUUUAAACAUCCCUGUUUAUGUACUGCACAUAUCAACAGACUGAGACAGCAGUGGCUGCUUCUGAGGCUUCAGUGAUGUCUCCCCUCUCCAGACAGGUUUUUAAGGGAUUGAUCUUGAUGGAAGACUGCCCCUAAGAAUCUGUUAUAAAAUUAAAAAUCUCAGUCGUCUGUUUUUUCCCUAUUGUCUUAAUGAUCCGAGUGCUCACUGGAGGAAAGACCUCAAUAUAUGCUUGGCUAAUGGAAUUCAACAGUCUGUUGCCAUGGUUCCCAACCCCAAAGGGGAAGAUAGGGAAGUUUGGCUGAUUAUCUGAACAAUGGUCUUAUUUUGGGUGGUUCCUCCUUUUAGAGAUUGUUUUCAGAAAAAUAAAAUAUGCGUAAGCAUAGAAAAGGAGUGAAGCUGAGAGGAAAGGAGGCUGAGAGUUACAACUGUGGGCUUCAGGGCUUUGCCUGGACACAGAACCCUUGGCAUAACCUACAUUUCUGUUAAGUUAAAACAGUCAUAGCUGUUUAGAAAAGCUAUUGUAAUUGCCAAGGAUGGUUUUCUUUGGAGAGGAUGGAAUAUAAAGUUAUAAUAUGUUAUCUGUAUCGUUUUUGACUAGUUUGGCUUUGUAUUGUCUCCUACACCAGUUAAAGACCCUUUAGCAUCUUAGUUCCAUUACAAGCUACAAGCUUCUUAACAAUGAAGGAUGAGGGAAAUUAUGAAGUAGUUGCAAGCUUUUUCCAGCCAGUAUCUCACAAAGGUUGUUAAUGCUCUACGUGUGAAGUCAGAGAGUUAUGUAAUUGGACUCCUCACACCUUCUCUGAAAUCUUUGAAAGAUUCAGUGUCUUGUGAAGUGUGAUGGCAAAAACAUGCAGCACCUAAGUCUUUGUCCAGUGCUGUUCCUUCUUGAAAAUAACUUCUCUCUUAAGGGCCAUGCCAAAUUUAAAAGAGGCGCUUUACUAAAGGGGUUUAAUGUGUGUGUGAGGGAGUGGUAAAAGUGACCAGUUCGCAAAACAGAUGGAUCACUGAAUAAAAUGUAAUGUAUUAAAUUAAAUUGUGGUAAAGGUCUCAGGUGUGCCCUGGAAUCAGAUAUUUACAAAAAUGUGGAUUGGGAGUUUUGUGAAGCCAUUUUCAGCAUUGAACCAAAUAUUGAGCUGUUCUGUUCACUGAAACGAGUUCACAUUUCUCAUUGCAAUUCCACUCCAUGGGAGUAGGAGUAUUUAUCAUUUAAACUGUAGUUGCAUGUCAAAAUACAGUAUGUUAUUUCUUGCAAUAUAAGACCAUAUUUUUUCAAAUCAUUUUUGUGCCUUUAAGACUACUGGGACAUUAUAAUUGUGCCACAAGCUGAAAAAUGUAGGAAGCACCGUCCUGUGGUGUGUGUAUGCUGUCACCAAUUAAUAGUGUGUAGCUGUUUCAGCAAAGUGUGCUGUUCGUUCUUCUUGCAUUUUCAGCAACAGCAGCUUAUAAUGACUUUUCAUCAUUUCCCCUUUUAAAGACAGUGGCUGUGUAGAGCUGUUACAGCAGAUAUUGUGUUUGUUUCUCUGAAUUUGCUCUAGAAAACAGCUAGCCAGUAAUACCAUUCCCUAAACAAUAUGACUAUUAGACUUACAUUAGCGAUAGAAAGACCAAAAACUAGAAAGGUUAAUAAAACACCAAAAGGAAACUGAAAAUGAAUAAAAGGACCUGAAAGAAAUCUUAAAUUCAGUGAGACGUAUACAGGAAACAGAUGCUCUAGCCGAAACUGACAUUUAAGUGUUUUUGAAAAUAACCCCAAGAUAAAUUUUUCCAUAAGAUUAAAAAUAAGACCAAUAAAAACUCUUUGUCUUCUGUCCACAAUAAACCACGUUAGAUAAUUUUACUACAAGAUGCUUGCUUCAGAACUAACGUUUGGAAACUGAAUACGUUUUAUUUAGCAAGGUUUGUAUCUAGAAUGAGAUGCAAAAUUUAUCUCACUUUUUCAAUUAAUUCACUCACUUAGAAGUCGACACAUUUGUGAGCAGUUAUUGUCUUUCCAGCGUUGUGUUGAUAGUCCAAGAUCUAGCGAUAUUCAAUCCAUUAAUUUUUUUUACUUCUUCAUGCAAUUCACUGUAGCGGGUGAGCCGGAGCCUAUCUCAGCAAACAUCAAGCACACACUCAUACGGGUGAAUUUUUCCAGAAGCCAAUUAAAACCGGAGCACCCAAAGGAAAUAAGGGGAGAACAUACAAAAUCAAUGCAGAUAAUAUCCCAGGUCCACAGUUGAACCCAAGAUCUCAGUCCUGCAAAGCAGCAGUGCUAACCACUACUGUGCUUCCAUCUAGCUAUAUUCAUGUGUUAUUAAUAAUUGUAUCAGUAACCAUUUACAUUACCAAAGCUUCUCUAGUGUGGCGCUGUCAAGUCACCAGGCAGAGAUGGAAACUGUCUUAGCAAAUCACUAAACCAAAACAAGUAGACAAAUCUCAUGAAUGUGAAGCAAUGUUGAAAGAAGAAAACUAAGUGCAGUGGGCACGGUAAACACAUCAGGAGUUCAAAGUAUUCAAAGUUAGUUGCAGAAGCAAGAGAUCUCAUGAAAAUCUGACAUCAGUCCAUUCCUCAGUGUCAUGCAGUGCCUCCAAGACAGGAACCUGUGUCUGAAGCUAGAAGACACAGGAUAAUUCCAUAAAUCCAGACUAUGAUAUUUGGCCAAGGAACGUUUGGGAAGCUCCACCUCUUGGUGUUUUUUUCUUCUAAGAAACUUGCCAGCUUUUCAUACCUGUCAGUGGUUCCGGCCUUAGCAGCUUGUCAGUAAGUGACCCUAUCAUUCUGACCGCUAGGACGUGUUAUCCUGCACAUGCUUUUCCAGCUUUUUGCAGAGCUUGGCCAGUGCUCAAUGACUGGUAAGUCACCCUGUACCUAGAAGAGACUCAGAUCCCUAAAGCUAAAAACGUAUUGGUGUCAUUUCUGUCCUGGCCUGCUGUUCAUUCCCUUUGUAGACUUUAACUUUGAUCAAAGGGCAUUGAGGAAAGCACACAAUAAAAUGAGCCUAACAUAAAACAGGAGAUGAUAAUAUUUUUGUAUCCAGUGUUGAAUGAGUGCUGUAACUGUGAGAGGAUAUACAAGUACAAGAACAGAUGUCUCUAAUAAACAGAACACUGAGAAGUACACAAGCUAUGUUGGUUUUUCAACACGAAUUCACCACAUGGUGCUAGAACUUCAGUGAUGUGACUUCAAAAACACAAUGCUGAUAACCUGCAGCUGCCAGGUGUUUCUCCUUAGCAUGGUGAGUAUAGUAGAACAUGCUGUAUGCGGGACAAACAAUGACCAAUGUCAUGGGCAGGGGAAAAUCAUAGUUGCCCAUCCUAAUUACUUUUAAAACACGGGAUUAAAUAUAUUUAAUCUGAGUGAUACAUUUCUUUUGUGUACAAGUCUGGAGUUUUUGGUCAUGCUGAAUUAUGCUGAAUACAUGCUCAUGUGUAUAAAUAGUGUGAAAAGAGUGCACUAAUGAUUGUAACAAAAUGUGCAUGGUAGUUGCAAGCAAACAUUGCAAAUGAGCACUCUUGAAAAGCAGGUAGAAACAUCCCUAGCCAACAGAAACAGGUGCCAAUACCAAGGAGAGGGGGCAGGGGACCCCAAAGGACAGGUACACGGAAAUAAAGCAACCUUUCAUAGAGAAGAAAAAAGAAAGAAAUCCUCUCUAGAUAUGGAUUAUCCAGUAUACAGCACUCUUAUAGCACUGACUCUGUCUACUGAAUCUUUCAUUUACAGGCUGUUUCCCUGCUUUCAGCCUGUGAAAAUUCACCAGUUUCUAACAUUUCUGAGUAUCGUAGAACAAACCCUGUUAAUUUCACUUAUGGCCUUCAGGGUAGAUUUCUGUCAUCACAAAUGUUUGGUUUUUUAAAGAUUUGUUUUCUCAUUUAAUAUACAGCACAUAUUUUUAAAAACAUCAGCACAAAUCCAGAGCAAGAAGGCCAUCUGGACUGUCUAGCUUGUUCAUUACUGUGCUUCAGAGAUCUCUCCACACUAAAACACAUCACUUGCGCUUUGGAAUUAAAACGAUUUGGUAUUUAUCAAAACCUUUUCACAAUAAAAGGAAACAAAACAAAACACUAACUCUUCCAUUGAGCUCUAACACUAAAGUUAUUAUUUGAUCAGUUAUGACCAAUGACAGCUAUAUGCUUACCAAUUCCAUAACAUAAAUCUCUGUUUUUUUCUGUCCAUGGCUCUUUGGCUAGUCACUUCUCUGUUCCCUUACCCCUCUAAAAAUGCAUAGUCGAGUUCAAAAGCCCCUUGGAAGCUUCAGCUUCCUGUAUUUGAAUGUCACCAGAACAAUUGCCUUUCACCGUUUCAUCAGGUGACUGGGGACCACAGAUCACUCCCCACUGCCUUCUGGGUAGCACAGUUCAGACAAGAGUCUCCUCCUUGCCUGAACCUACCACGCUCUCAUAGCCAUUAGUAGCUAUCUCAUCCAUCCCUUUUGCCUUCCUCAAAGUUAUAGGCUUUGCCAACAUGAUUGGACAACUUGUCCCAGGCUACCAGUAUUUUAUAGUGCAUUGAUUUUGCAGAUUUUAAUGAACUCAGUACAUGCAAAAAUGCCUGUUUUGAAAAUGUAUUGCACCUCUUUUCAGGUGCCCCAUGGGCUCAAGCACUCCUUAUCACCCCUGUGCUACUUUCUGAAUUGCAGCUUUCAGAUAAGGGAGUGUGAAUUUAAGAUCUGAAGGCACACUCGGGGGCGGUGCGGUGGCUCUGUGGCUAAGGAUCUGCGCCUGUGGCUGGAAGGUUGUUGGUUCCCGGGGUUCCAGUUGCCGCAGUUCCAGUAUCCCGUGGCUGGCAGAGGAAUCCUUCUCCGUUGGGCCCCUGAGCAAGGCCCUUAACCCCAACUGCUC